AUGAAGGUAUGUGUCAGAGCGGGGGGGGGGGAGGGGGGGUUGUGCGUGCGUGCGUGUGUGUGUGUGUGCGUGUGGGGGCGGGGCGGGGCGUCACAGCGCGCGACGCCGCCCCUCCCCCUCCGUGUCCCCUCCGUGUCCCCUCCGGGUCCCCCCCCGUGUCCCCCGGGCCUUUCGGUAGGUGUCCGGCCGGCCUUGGGUGUCGGGGGGUGUGUGUGUGUCACUGUGUGUGUGUCGGGGGGGGUGUCUGUGUGCUGUCAGGGCGUGUGUCGGGGGAGUGUUUGUGUUAGGGGUGUGUGUGUGUGUCAUUGUGUGUGUCGGGGGUGGGUGUCUGUGUGCUGUCAGGGUGCGUGUCGGGGGAGUGUUUGUGUUAGGGGUGUGUGUCUGUGUGUCAUUGUGUGUGUCCGUGCGCUGUCUGGGUGUGUUGCGCGUGUGUCUGUGUCGUCCGGGUGUGUCUGUGUGUGUCAUUGUGUGUCCGCGCGCUGUCAGGGUGUGUUGGGUGUGUGUCUGUGUCGUCAGGGUGUAUCUGUGUGUGUCAUUGUGUGUCCGCGCGCUGUCAGGGUGUGUUGGGUGUGUGUCUGUGUCGUCAGGGUGUAUCUGUGUGUGUCAUUGUGUGUCCGCGCGCUGUCAGGGUGUGUUGGGUGUGUGUCUGUGUCGUCAGGGUGUGUCUGGGUCGUUGUGUGUGCCCGCGCGCUGUCAGUGUGUGCGUGUGUUGGGCGUGUGCGUCAGGGUGUGCGCCUGUGUGUUGUCCGGGUGUGUCUGUGUGUGUCAUUGUGUGUGUCCGUGCGCUUUCAGUGUGUGUGUGUUGGUGUGCGUUGGGGGGGGGGUGUCCUUGUGCGUCGGGGGGUGUGUCCGUGUGCUGUCUGUGUGUGUGUGUGUGUCGUUGUGUGUGUCAGGGUGUCGUCAGAGUGUGUGUCGUUGUGGGUGCCUGUGCGCUGUCGGGGUGUGUCGGUGCGUGUCACGGUGCGUGUGUCGGGGGGCGGGGGUGUGCCAGUGUGUGUGAUUGUGUGA
rnacentral:lncRNA from 1 species